GAUGAACGCUGGCGGCGUGCCUAAUACAUGCAAGUCGAGCGAACAGACGAGGAGCUUGCUCCUUUGACUUUAGCGGCGGACGGGUGAGUAACACGUGGUUAACCUCCCUUUAAGACUGGGAUAACUUCGGGAAACCGGAGCUAAUCCCGGAUAAUAUUUCGAACCGCAUGGUUCGUUAGUGAAAGAUGGCUUUGCUUUCACUUUUAGUUGGACCUGCGCCGUAUUAGCUAGUUGGUAAGGUAACGGCUUACCAAGGCAACGAUACGUAGCCGACCUGAGAGGGUGAUCGGCCACACUGGAACUGAGACACGGUCCAGACUCCUACGGGAGGCAGCAGUAGGGAAUCUUCCGCAAUGGGCGAAAGCCUGACGGAGCAACGCCGCGUGAGUGAUGAAGGUCUUCGGAUCGUAAAACUCUGUUAUUAGGGAAGAAUAAACGUGUAAGUAACUGUGCACGUCUUGACGGUACCUAAUCAGAAAGCCACGGCUAACUACGUG
rnacentral:rRNA from 1 species